GCAUAUCAAUAAGCGGAGGAAAAGAAACCAACAGGGAUUGCCCCAGUAACGGCGAGUGAAGCGGCAAAAGCUCAAAUUUGAAAUCCUGCGGGAAUUGUAAUUUGAAGGUUUCGUGGUCUGAGUCGGCCGCGCCCAAGUCCAUUGGAACAUGGCGCCUGGGAGGGUGAGAGCCCCGUAUGGCGCACGCCGACUCUUUGUACACCGCGGCUCCGACGAGUCGAGUUGUUUGGGAAUGCAGCUCUAAGUGGGUGGUAAAUUCCAUCUAAAGCUAAAUAUUGGCGAGAGACCGAUAGCGAACAAGUACAGUGAUGGAAAGAUGAAAAGCACUUUGAAAAGAGAGUGAAACAGCACGUGAAAUUGUUGAAAGGGAAGGGCUUGCAAGCAGACACGGUUUUACCGGGCCAGCGUCGAAAAGGGGGGAGGAACAAGAACUCGAGAAUGUGGCGCGCACCUUCGGGCGCGCGUGUUAUAGCUCGUGUUGACGCCUCCAUCCCUUUUCGAGGCCUGCGAUUCUAGGACGCUGGCGUAAUGGUUGCAAGCCGCCCGUCUUGAAACACACGGACC
rnacentral:rRNA from 1 species